rnacentral:rRNA from 1 species
UACGAAGGGGACUAGCGUUGUUCGGAAUCACUGGGCGUAAAGCGCACGUAGGCGGAUAUGUCAGUCAGGGGUGAAAUCCCGGGGCUCAACCUCGGAACUGCCUUUGAUACAGCAUGUCUUGAGUCCGAUAGAGGUGGGUGGAAUUCCUAGUGUAGAGGUGAAAUUCGUAGAUAUUAGGAAGAACACCGGUGGCGAAGGCGGGAUCCUGGGCCAGUACUGACGCUGAGGAGCGAAAGCCAGGGGAGCAAACGGG